GGCGCAAGCCUGAUCCAGCAAUGCCGCGUGCAGGAAGAAGGCCUUCGGGUUGUAAACUGCUUUUGUACGGAACGAAACGGUCCUGGUUAAUACCCGGGGCUAAUGACGGUACCGUAAGAAUAAGCACCGGCUAACUACGUGCCAGCAGCCGCGGUAAUACGUAGGGUGCAAGCGUUAAUCGGAAUUACUGGGCGUAAAGCGUGCGCAGGCGGUUUUGUAAGACAGGCGUGAAAUCCCCGGGCUCAACCUGGGAAUUGCGCUUGUGACUGCAAGGCUGGAGUGCGGCAGAGGGGGAUGGAAUUCCGCGUGUAGCAGUGAAAUGCGUAGAUAUGCGGAGGAACACCGAUGGCGAAGGCAAUCCCCUGGGCCUGCACUGACGCUCAUGCACGAAAGCGUGGGGAGCAAACAGGAUUAGAUACCCUGGUAGUCCACGCCCUAAACGAUGUCAACUGGUUGUUGGGUCUCUUCUGACUCAUUAACGAAGCUAACGCGUGAAGUUGACCGCCUGGGGAGUACGGCCGCAAGGUUGAACUCAAAUG
rnacentral:rRNA from 1 species